UACCUCUAAACCUGUUGCUCGUUCAAGAUCGCAUAGCAAUCCAAAAGAGAGAUCAACCCUUUCAAAUAAACAAGGAAAGAAGCAAUUGUCUCUGCCAAGCUGCGGGCUAAAUCAGGGGUCUCAACCAACCAGGCAACCCAGUCGAACUGCUGUCAAAAGCUUGCCUACUGGCCAGAAGCCCGCAAAGGAUAAAUCUAAAUUGAAUGGCAAUGGCCUAAAGCCUUCCAAAUCUACUCUGCAGGCUGAUCAUUAGUGUUUAGCUUUAGUCUGUUGUACAAAAAGUGCAAUUUUUUAUGUGAGAAGAUGAUUAUUUUUUGAUGUUACCAGGGCUUGUAGUUAAAUAGACAGGUGUGUUCUUGAAAUAGGAAUGAGGGGGUGAGACUGUUGAAAAAGAUUAUUUAUUAUUGUAUUCUUUUGGUUCAUUUGUAUUUA